UUUUUUUUCAAAUUUUGCCUCGAAUUUUCUUUUCAGUGUUUCUUUGCACAUGAGAUUAUUAAGAACAUAGACACCCCACUCUUUAUUCUCAACCCAGCAUACGAUGUUUGGCAGAUACAACAUAUAUUGGCUCCAGAAUCAUCUGAUACUCAACAAUCAUGGCAAAGGUGCAAGCUGAACAUUCACAAUUGUGAUUCCAACCAGAUUGAAUCUCUCCAAGGAUUCAGGGUUGCCUUGCUUAAUUCCUUGAGUGAUUUUCAGCAUAACAGGAAUGGGGCCAUGUUUAUAGAUUCUUGCUUCAUACAUUGUCAGACAAUAAGCAAUAUCACAUGGCACUCUCCAAAUUCUCCAAAAAUUAAUAAUAAGACAUGAGGAAGAGCAAAGGGAAAGCAACAGCUAUGGCCAAGAAAAAAG